rnacentral:rRNA from 1 species
UGAGGAAUAUUGGUCAAUGGGCGCAAGCCUGAACCAGCCAUGCCGCGUGCAGGAUGAAGCAUCUAUGGUGUGUAAACUGCUUUUGUACGGGAAGAAACAACUCUUCGUGAAGAGUCUUGACGGUACCGUAAGAAUAAGGAUCGGCUAACUCCGU